rnacentral:rRNA from 1 species
UACGGGGGGGGCAAGCGUUGUUCGGAAUUACUGGGCGUAAAGGGCUCGUAGGUGGUCAACUAAGUCGGACGUGAAAUCCCUCGGCUUAACCGGGGAACUGCGUCCGAUACUGGAUGACUUGAGUUCGGGAGAGGGAUGCGGAAUUCCAGGUGUAGCGGUGAAAUGCGUAGAUAUCUGGAGGAACACCGGUGGCGAAGGCGGCAUCCUGGACCGGCAUUGACGCUGAGGCGCGAAAGCCAGGGGAGCAAACGGG